AAAAGAACUUUGAAAAGAGAGUUAAAAAGUGCGUGAAACCGUUGGAAGGGAAGCGAAUAGAGAUAACAAUUCAUUGGCGUGCUUGGUUUCGAUCUUUCUAGACGAGCCUUGUACGUUUGCAUUGUGUGAACGGCGCACUUCCGCUUGGCGAGAGUCAACGUCGGUUUGCGUGAAUUCAAAAAGCCGCAAGCACGGUAGGUCCCACGGGAUCGGUAAGGCUUGCGAGCAAAUGAUUUCACGUGGACCGAGUUCAGUCGCAGCACGUACCUGCAGGUUGCUGUCUUCGUCGUUGAGUCGGUUUAACGUCGCUAGACGGACGGCUGAGCCUGUGCGUCUGCGUGCGGCCGCUCCGACGAUGGGGCAAACAGACAUGACGUGCUGAGGACGUUGACAAUUCUGUGGCUCUAUCCGACCCGUCUUGAAACACGGACCAAGGAGUCUAACAUGUGCGCAAGUCUCAGAGUGAUCGAAACUCGUUGGGCAUAAUGAAAGUGAAUGCAGUCUCGGCUGCAUAGAUGAGAGGCCGUCGUGGUGGCAUCAUCGACCGACCUAUUCUACUCUUAGAAAGGUUUGAGUUAGAGCGCACCUGUCGGGACCCGAAAGAUGGUGAACUAUGCCUGAAUAGGGUGAAGCCAGCGGAAACACUGGUGGAAGCCCGUAGCGAUUCUGACGUGCAAUCGAUCGUCGAAUUUGGGUAUAGCGGCGAAAGACUAAUCGAACCAUCUAGUAGCUGGUUCCCUCCGAAGUUUCUCACAGGAUAGCUGGAACUCUGUGGCAGUUU
rnacentral:rRNA from 1 species